rnacentral:lncRNA from 1 species
GGAAGAUGGACGCAGCGUUCGAACGAAUGGAACGGUAUGGUGUCGGUGUGGCACAAGGUGACAGAGGUAACUUUCUUGGACAUAACUUUGUAAAAUUCUAUAUGGGCGUUAUUACUAUAGAAAUAAACCUAAAAGCUGAGAUUGAAACAAAAUACUUGCUUUCCUAAUAUUUCUGGUGUUUGUUUGUUAUUAUUAUAAUUAUUAUGACAGUGGCGCGGUUGACGGAAUGGGUUGCUCUCGGAAAAGCAGUACAAGCGCUGUCUGAGGAUGUCAAUGAAAUGGUGUUGAAGCCCUCCCAGUUUAAGUUGUUCUUUGAAGUGCUUAAAAGAAAUAUAGACCAGUUAAGCGAACACUGGAAAGAACCAAAUGUUAACGAAGUAGAAGGGGCUAUUCCAUUCCUGGAACUUCAAAAGUUC